ACAUGCAAGUCGAACGGUGAAGCCCCGCUUGCGGGGUGGAUCAGUGGCGAACGGGUGAGUAACACGUGAGCAACCUGCCCUGGACUCUGGGAUAAGCGCUGGAAACGGCGUCUAAUACUGGAUAUGAACUCUCAUCGCAUGGUGGGGGUUGGAAAGAUUUUUUGGUCUGGGAUGGGCUCGCGGCCUAUCAGCUUGUUGGUGAGGUAAUGGCUCACCAAGGCGUCGACGGGUAGCCGGCCUGAGAGGGUGACCGGC
rnacentral:rRNA from 1 species